rnacentral:rRNA from 1 species
CGGGGUGCAGCAGGCGCGAAAACUUUACAAUGCGGGAAACCGUGAUAAGGGGACACCGAGUGCCAGCAUCAUAUGCUGGCUGUCCAGGUGUGUAAAAUACACCUGUUAGCAAGGGCCGGGCAAGACCGGUGCCAGCCGCCGCGGUAACACCGGCGGCCCGAGUGGUGAUCGUGAUUAUUGGGUCUAAAGGGUCCGUAGCCGGUUUGGUCAGUCCUCCGGGAAAUCUGAUAGCUCAACUAUUAGGCUUUCGGGGGAUACUGCCAGGCUUGGAACCGGGAGAGGUAAGAGGUACUACAGGGGUAGGAGUGAAAUCUUGUAAUCCCUGUGGGACCACCUGUGGCGAAGGCGUCUUACCAGAACGGGUUCGACGGUGAGGGACGAAAGCUGGGGGCACGAACCGGAUUAGAUACCCGGGUAGUCCCAGCCGUAAACGAUGCUCGCUAGGUGUCAGGCAUGGCGCGACCGUGUCUGGUGCCGCAGGGAAGCCGUGAAGCGAGCCACCUGGGAAGUACGGCCGCAAGGCUGAAACUUAAAGGAAUUGGCGGGGGAGCACAAGG